rnacentral:rRNA from 1 species
CAGGGAAUAUUGCGCAAUGGACGGAAGUCUGACGCAGCGACGCCGCGUGGAUGAUGAAGGCCUUCGGGUUGUAAAAUCCUUUUCAGGGGGAAGAGCGAGGACGGUACCCCUGGAAUAAGCGUCGGCUAACUACGUGCCAGCAGCCGCGGUAAGACGUAGGACGCGAGCGUUAUCCGGAUUUACUGGGCGUAAAGCGUCUGUAGGCGGAAGUGUAAGUUGGACGUGAAAGCUCCGGGCUCAACUCGGAGAGGCCGUUCAAUACUGCACAACUAGAGGCCAUCAGAGGGGCGUGGAAUUUCCGGUGUAGCGGUAAAAUGCGCAGAUAUCGGAAGGAACACCAGUGGCGAAGGCGGCGCCCUGGGGUGGGCCUGACGCUAAGAGACGAAAGCUAGGGGAGC